UACGGAGGGUGCAAGCGUUGUCCGGAUUCAUUGGGUUUAAAGGGUGCGUAGGCGGUCUUGUAAGUCAGUGGUGAAAUCUCAGAGCUCAACUCUGAAUGUGCCAAUGAUACUGCAGGACUCGAGAGCAGUCGAGGUAGCUGGAAUGUGUAGUGUAGCGGUGAAAUGCAUAGAGAUUACACAGAACACCAAUUGCGAAGGCAAGUUACUAGACUGUUUCAGACGCUGAUGCACGAAAGUGUGGGUAGCGAACAGG
rnacentral:rRNA from 1 species